CCUCAGAUCGGNNGGAUUACCCGCUGAAUUUAAGCAUAUCAAUAAGCGGAGGAAAAGAAACUAACCAGGAUUCCCCCAGUAACGGCGAGUGAAGCGGGAAAAGCCCAGCACCGAAUCCCCCGGCGACACCGUCGGCGGAACUGUGGUGUAUGGGACGCCAACAGCCUUGCCCGGACGGCACACAAGUCCUCCUGAUAGAGGCCCUUCCCCGUGCGGGUGUGAGGCCUUUGGACGGUGCCCGUCGGCUCGGCCGUGAGCGUCUCCGGAGUCGGGUUGUUUGAGAAUGCAGCCCUAAGCGGGUGGUAAAUUCCAUCUAAGGCUAAAUACCUGUGCAGUCCAUAGUUGACAAG
rnacentral:rRNA from 1 species